AAUGUACUCUCUCCGUCCAAAAAUACUUGUCGGAGGAAUGAAUGUAUCUAGACGUAUUUUAGUUGUAGAUACAUCCAUUUUUAUCCAUUUUUUCGACAAGUAUUUCCAGACGGAAGGAGUAUAUA
rnacentral:pre_miRNA from 1 species